rnacentral:rRNA from 1 species
GUGGGGAAUAUUGCACAAUGGGCGCAAGCCUGAUGCAGCGACGCCGCGUGAGGGAUGACGGCCUUCGGGUUGUAAACCUCUUUCAGCAGGGAAGAAGCGAAAGUGACGGUACCUGCAGAAGAAGCGCCGGCUAACUACGUGCCAGCAGCCGCGGUAAUACGUAGGGCGCGAGCGUUGUCCGGAAUUAUUGGGCGUAAAGAGCUUGUAGGCGGUUUGUCGCGUCUGCUGUGAAAGCCCGGGGCUUAACCCCGGGUUUGCAGUGGGUACGGGCUAACUAGAGUGCAGUAGGGGAGACUGGAAUUCCUGGUGUAGCGGUGAAAUGCGCAGAUAUCAGGAGGAACACCAAUGGCGAAGGCAGGUCUCUGGGCUGUAACUGACGCUGAGAAGCGAAAGCAUGGGGAGCAAACAGGAUUAGAAACCCUAGUAGUCCC